rnacentral:ncRNA from 1 species
CAUACGGGAAUGAAGUUCUCCCUUGAUGCAAAUCAAAACCGCCAUACAGGCUGAUGACUUCUGUGAU